rnacentral:sRNA from 1 species
CUUCUUGCUACACCCUCACGACUAAUGACAGUGCUCAAGCCAUUAAGGACUCUCAUUAGCCGCGCGAGUCACUGUAGCGGAAGAGGUUCAAUUUUCUAGAAGAAAAGGGGCCCAAUUUGGCCCCUUUCC